rnacentral:rRNA from 1 species
UACGGGGGGGGCAAGCGUUGUUCGGAAUUACUGGGCGUAAAGGGCUCGUAGGCGGCCAACUAAGUCAGACGUGAAAUCCCUCGGCUUAACCGGGGAACUGCGUCUGAUACUGGAUGGCUUGAGGUUGGGAGAGGGAUGCGGAAUUCCAGGUGUAGCGGUGAAAUGCGUAGAUAUCAGGAGGAACACCAAUGGCGAAGGCAGCUCGCUGGGACGGUACUGACGCUGAGGCGCGAAAGCGUGGGGAGCAAACAGG